UGGGGAAUUUUGGACAAUGGGGGGAAACCCUGAUCCAGCCAUCCCGCGUGUGCGAUGAAGGCCUUCGGGUUGUAAAGCACUUUUGGCAGGAAAGAAACGUCGCGGGUUAAUACCCCGCGAAACUGACGGUACCUGCAGAAUAAGCACCGGCUAACUACGUGCCAGCAGCCGCGGUAAUACGUAGGGUGCAAGCGUUAAUCGGAAUUACUGGGCGUAAAGCGUGCGCAGGCGGUUCGGAAAGAAAGAUGUGAAAUCCCAGAGCUUAACUUUGGAACUGCAUUUUUAACUACCGGGCUAGAGUGUGUCAGAGGGAGGUGGAAUUCCGCGUGUAGCAGUGAAAUGCGUAGAUAUGCGGAGGAACACCGAUGGCGAAGGCAGCCUCCUGGGAUAACACUGACGCUCAUGCACGAAAGCGUGGGGAGCAAACAGGAUUAGAUACCCUGGUAGUCCACGCCCUAAACGAUGUCAACUAGCUGUUGGGGCCUUCGGGCCUUGGUAGCGCAGCUAACGCGUGAAGUUGACCGCCUGGGGAGUACGGUCGC
rnacentral:rRNA from 1 species